rnacentral:rRNA from 1 species
GGAUCGCAGUCUGCAACUCGACUGCGUGAAGGUGGAGUCGCUAGUAAUCGCGGAUCAGCAACGCCGCGGUGAAUGCGUUCCCGGGCCUUGUACACACCGCCCGUCAAGUCAUGAAAGUGGGCAGCACCCGAAGACGGUGGCCUAACCCUUGUGGGGGGGAGCCGUCUAAGGUGAGGCUCGUGAUUGGGACUAAGUCGUAACAAGGUACC